rnacentral:rRNA from 1 species
GUAAGCUACUAAGAGCGAAUGGUGGAUGCCUUGACUGGUAAAGGCGAUGAAGGACGUACUAGACUGCGAUAAGCUACGGGGAGCUGUCAAGAAGCUUUGAUCCGUAGAUUUCCGAAUGGGGCAACCCAAUGUAUAGAGAUAUACAUUACCUAUAUAGGAGCGAACGAGGGGAAUUGAAACAUCUUAGUACCCUCAGGAAAAGAAAUCAAUAGAGAUUGCGUCAGUAGCGGCGAGCGAAAGCGCAAGAGGGCAAACCCAGUGCUUGCACUGGGGGUUGUAGGACUGCAAUGUGCAAGAGGUAAGUUUAGCAGAACAUUCUGGAAAGUAUAACCAUAGAGGGUGAUAGUCCCGUAUGCGAAAAACAAACCUUAGCUAGCAGUAUCCUGAGUAGGGCGGGACACGAGGAAUCCUGUCUGAAUCCGGGUCGACCACGAUCCAACCCUAAAUACUAAUACCAGAUCGAUAGUGCACAAGUACCGUGAGGGAAAGGUGAAAAGAACUGAGGUGAUCAGAGUGAAAUAGAACCUGAAACCAUUUGCUUACAAUCAUUCAGAGCCCUAUGUAGCAAUACAGGGUGAUGGACUGCCUUUUGCAUAAUGAGCCUGCGAGUUGUGGUGUCUGGCAAGGUUAAGCAAACGCGAAGCCGUAGCGAAAGCGAGUCUGAAUAGGGCGCUUAGUCAGAUGCUGCAGACCCGAAACGAAGUGAUCUAUCCAUGAGCAAGUUGAAGCUAGUGUAAGAACUAGUGGAGGACUGAACCCAUAGGCGUUGAAAAGCCCCGGGAUGACUUGUGGAUAGGGGUGAAAGGCCAAUCAAACUUCGUGAUAGCUGGUUCUCUCCGAAAUAUAUUUAGGUAUAGCGUUGUGUCGUAAUAUAAGGGGGUAGAGCACUGAAUGGGCUAGGGCAUACACCAAUGUACCAAACCCUAUCAAACUCCGAAUACCUUAUAUGUAAUCACAGCAGUCAGGCGGCGAGUGAUAAAAUCCGUCGUCAAGAGGGAAACAACCCAGACUACCAGCUAAGGUCCCUAAAUCUUACUUAAGUGGAAAACGAUGUGAAGUUACUUAAACAACCAGGAGGUUGGCUUAGAAGCAGCCAUCCUUUAAAGAAAGCGUAAUAGCUCACUGGUCUAGUGAUUUUGCGCGGAAAAUAUAACGGGGCUAAAGUAAGUACCGAAGCUGUAGACUUGCGCACAACUUAGAUUAUUUAAGUUUAGAAUAUGAGAAACUAAGUUAUAUGUUUAGUUAUAUUUUUACUGAUUUUUAUAGAGUAAAGAUAGAAAUAAAACUUAGUAAAAUCAGUAAAAAUAUUCUUAGACUAAAGUUAAGUAGUUUAAGUUGUGUGCAAGUGGUAGGAGAGCGUUCUAUUUGCGUCGAAGGUAUACCGGUAAGGAGUGCUGGAGCGAAUAGAAGUGAGCAUGCAGGCAUGAGUAGCGAUAAUUAAUGUGAGAAUCAUUAACGCCGUAAACCCAAGGUUUCCUACGCGAUGCUCGUCAUCGUAGGGUUAGUCGGGUCCUAAGUCGAGUCCGAAAGGGGUAGACGAUGGCAAAUUGGUUAAUAUUCCAAUACCAACAUUAGUGUGCGAUGGAAGGACGCUUAGGGCUAAGGGGGCUAGCGGAUGGAAGUGCUAGUCUAAGGUCGUAGGAGGUUAUACAGGCAAAUCCGUAUAACAAUACUCCGAGAACUGAAAGGCUUUUUGAAGUCUUCGGAUGGAUAGAAGAACCCCUGAUGCCGUCGAGCCAAGAAAAGUUUCUAAGUUUAGCUAAUGUUGCCCGUACCGUAAACCGACACAGGUGGGUGGGAUGAGUAUUCUAAGGCGCGUGGAAGAACUCUCUUUAAGGAACUCUGCAAAAUAGCACCGUAUCUUCGGUAUAAGGUGUGGUUCGCUUCGUAUUAGGAUUUACUCCGAAAGCGAAGAAACUUACAACAAAGAGUCCCUCCCGACUGUUUACCAAAAACACAGCACUCUGCUAACUCGUAAGAGGAUGUAUAGGGUGUGACGCCUGCCCGGUGCUCGAAGGUUAAUUGAUGGGGUUAGCAUUAGCGAAGCUCUUGAUCGAAGCCCGAGUAAACGGCGGCCGUAACUAUAACGGUCCUAAGGUAGCGAAAUUCCUUGUCGGUUAAAUACCGACCUGCAUGAAUGGCGUAACGAGAUGGGAGCUGUCUCAAAGAGGGAUCCAGUGAAAUUGUAGUGGAGGUGAAAAUUCCUCCUACCCGCGGCAAGACGGAAAGACCCCGUGGACCUUUACUACAGCUUGACACUGCUAUUUGGAUAAGAAUGUGCAGGAUAGGUGGGAGGCUUUGAGUAUAUGACGCCAGUUGUAUAUGAGCCAUUGUUGAGAUACCACUCUUUCUUAUUUGGGUAGCUAACCAGCUUGAGUUAUCCUCAAGUGGGACAAUGUCUGGUGGGUAGUUUGACUGGGGCGGUCGCCUCCCAAAUAAUAACGGAGGCUUACAAAGGUUGGCUCAGAACGGUUGGAAAUCGUUCGUAGAGUAUAAAGGUAUAAGCCAGCUUAACUGCAAGACAUACAAGUCAAGCAGAGACGAAAGUCGGUCUUAGUGAUCCGGUGGUUCUGUGUGGAAGGGCCAUCGCUCAAAGGAUAAAAGGUACCCCGGGGAUAACAGGCUGAUCUCCCCCAAGAGCUCACAUCGACGGGGAGGUUUGGCACCUCGAUGUCGGCUCAUCGCAUCCUGGGGCUGGAGCAGGUCCCAAGGGUAUGGCUGUUCGCCAUUUAAAGCGGUACGCGAGCUGGGUUCAGAACGUCGUGAGACAGUUCGGUCUCUAUCUGCCGUGGGCGUAAGAAGAUUGAAGAGAUUUGACCCUAGUACGAGAGGACCGGGUUGAACAAACCACUGGUGUAGCUGUUGUU